rnacentral:rRNA from 1 species
CGGCUAAACAUGCAGUCGAGCGCCCCGCAGGGGGAGCGGCAGACGGGUGAGUAACGCGUGGGAAUCUGCCCAUCACUACGGAACAACUCCGGGAAACUGGAGCUAAUACCGUAUACGUCCUUCGGGAGAAAGAUUUAUCGGUGAUGGAUGAGCCCGCGUUGGAUUAGCUAGUUGGUGGGGUAAUGGCCUACCAAGGCGACGAUCCAUAGCUGGUCUGAGAGGAUGAUCAGCCACACUGGGACUGAGACACGGCCCAGACUCCUACGGGAGGCAGCAGUGGGGAAUAUUGGACAAUGGGCGCAAGCCUGAUCCAGCCAUGCCGCGUGAGUGAUGAAGGCCCUAGGGUUGUAAAGCUCUUUCAACGGUGAAGAUAAUGACGGUAACCGUAAAAAAAGCCCCGGCUAACUUCGUGCCAGCGCCCCCGGGAAAAUAA